GACGAACGCUGGCGGCGUGCCUAAUACAUGCAAGUAGAACGCACAGUUUAUACCGUAGCUUGCUACACCAUAGACUGUGAGUUGCGAACGGGUGAGUAACGCGUAGGUAACCUGCCUGGUAGCGGGGGAUAACUAUUGGAAACGAUAGCUAAUACCGCAUAAUAUUAAUUAUUGCAUGAUAAUUAAUUGAAAGGUGCAAUUGCACCACUACCAGAUGGACCUGCGUUGUAUUAGCUAGUAGGUGAGGUAACGGCUCACCUAGGCGACGAUACAUAGCCGACCUGAGAGGGUGAUCGGCCAAAAUGGGACUGAGACACGGCCCAGACCCCUACGGGAGGCAGCAGUAGGGAAUCUUCGGAAAUGGACGAAAGUCUGACCGAGCAACGCCGCGUGAGUGAAGAAGGUUUUCGGAUCGUAAAGCUCUGUUGUAAGAGAAGAACGGGUGUGGGAGUGGAAAGUUCACACUGUGACGGUAUCUUACCAGAAAGGGACGGCUAACUACGUG
rnacentral:rRNA from 1 species